GCUAAUAUAGUCUAAUUAGGAUAACAGUUUGUCUAACUGUGGGUGGCUUUGCCUAUUGGUG
rnacentral:tRNA from 1 species